CUUUCUUCAUCGAUCGAUCAAAAUAAAUAAAUAAAUACACACACACACACACACUUAUUUAUCAUUAAAUUCCAAAAAUCCAAUCUCUCGUUCAUUUUCUCUCUCUUGCAUUUCCUCGUUCCCUUCUCCUUCGGGGUUUUCAUUUGGAUUUUUGCUUACAUUUCUCAUUUUCCCUACUUUCAUCUACCUUUCUAUUUCUAUAAAUAUAAAUAAAUUAGUUUUCUUUCUCUUUCUGGCUGGUGAGUUUGUGUAGAAGAAUGUGAUGGAAAAAAGAUGGGGCUAAUUCACCAAGGGAGGAGUUGAGAUUCAAAUGCUAUUGGUUUGGGAUUCUAAUGCACGGAUCUGCUGGUGGUCUGAUGGCCUCCAGCUCGAACAAGUCAACACAAAAGAAGCUUGUCAUCCAAUGUUUUGUUGCCUGAGACCUAUUCCUAGAUUGAAAAGAUCUUUUAUGGGGUGAGAAGUAGGGGCGAAUAUGGUUUUUCAUUUUAAACAUUUAAGGACAUGGAGGAGACACGAGAUGAUGCAGGGCCAGCAGAGCAAGGGCCUUCUAAUGCAACAUGGUGGUCUUCAGAUUUUAUUGAAAAAUUUGGUUCUGUUUCUUUGGGUUCUCAUGAAGAGAGUUUGAGUAAUAGGGAGUCACCUAGAAAUUUUGAGCAAGAUGUAUUGUCAUCUCAGACAGCAUCACAGAUUUUGUGGAACACUGGAAUGCUUUCUGAGCCAAUUCCAAAUGGUUUCUAUUCUGUGAUUCCGGAUAAAAGGCUUAAGGAGAUGUUUGAUACUAUUCCUACAUUGGAAGAGCUUCAUGCUUUGGGUGGAGAAGGUUAUAGAGCUGAUAUCAUUCUUGUGGAUUUUGAGAAAGAUAAAAAAUUAUCUAUGCUGAAGCAGUUGAUUGCGGCACUGGUUAAAGGAUUGAACUCAAAUCCACCUGCAAUGAUUAAAAAGAUUGCCGGAUUGGUAUCUGAUUUUUAUAAACGUCCAACUGCGGAAAGUCCAGCAAAAGCUGCACUAGAAGAAACCUCUGACAUGUUUGAGAAUAGAAGUGUCCAGAUGCUGGGACAAAUAAAGCAUGGUUCAUGUCGUCCCCGGGCAAUUUUGUUUAAAGUUUUAGCAGAUACUGUAGGGCUUGAAAGUAGGCUCAUGGUGGGUUUGCCAAAUGAUGGGGCUGUUGAGUGUGCAGAUUCAUAUAAGCAUAUGUCUGUGAUAGUUGUGUUAAAUUCUGUGGAGCUACUGGUUGAUCUUAUGCGGUUUCCAGGUCAGUUGAUACCACGAUCAACAAAAGCUAUUUUUAUGACCCAUAUAUCAGCUGCAGGGGAGAGUGAUUCUGCUGAAAAUGACUCUUGUGAUUCACCAUUGGAGCCAAAUAGUCCUCUCUACGGAUUUUCUGAUAAAGUUGACCACCCUGACAGUGCUGAAAAAGAUGAGAACCUUCAGUUCCAUCGGAAAUUAGAUGGGUCUUCCAAUAUAACUGGUGCUUCGUUGCGAAAUAUGAUGCUACGAUCUUCCGCCUCGAUUGACAGGAAGUUAAGUCUGUCACAUAGUGAACCCAACAUCGCAACUACAUUCUGGCGUCGUAGCCGAAGAAAGGUUAUUGCUGAACAGCGGACUGCCAGUUCCAGUCCAGAGCAUCCAUCUUUCCGAGCACGUGCAAGGUCCAUGCUAAGUGGUGAUAGGAAUCCCCUUAGAGAUUAUGCUGAUGAUGUUGCUACAUCAAGCUACAGAUCAGAUGGGGCAUCAACAUCAGAAGCUCGUAGAAUAAGAAGAAGAAGCAUUAGCAUGACUCCGGAGAUUGGUGAUGAUAUCGUAAGGGCUGUCAGAGCUAUGAAUGAAACAUUGAAGCAAAAUCGUCUUUUGCAAGAGCGUGGGGAAGAUAGGUCUUUUGCCCAUUCUUCAAAUAGUCGGAAUGAAAGUCCUGAUCUUCAGAACGUACCAAAUUUCCAUCUUGAUGGCCAUGAUGACAUUACUGGUGGGAGGUCUGUAUUGUAUAACCUUUCCAGGGACCAAAUAAAUUCUCAAAAAGCAAUAUCGUUGCCAUCUUCUCCCCAUGACUAUAGAAGCCAAACUUCAGGGAGAAGUGGAGUUUCGGGAUAUGUCACAAAUGAUGAAAUGGUUGCAACAUGGAAUAAAGUUCUUGAAUCUCCAUUGUUCAACAAUAACCCCUUAUUAGCUUAUCCCGAAUGGAAUAUUGAUUUCUCUGAAUUAACUGUUGGAACUCGUGUUGGGAUAGGGUUUUUUGGAGAAGUUUUCCGUGGGCUAUGGAAUGGAACAGAUGUUGCAAUCAAGGUGUUUUUGGAGCAAGAUCUUACUGCAGAAAACAUGGAAGACUUCUGCAAUGAGAUAUCCAUUCUUAGCCGCCUUCGACAUCCUAAUGUUAUUUUGUUUUUGGGUGCAUGCACAAAACCACCCCAGUUGUCAAUGAUUACUGAAUACAUGGAAAUGGGAUCAUUGUACUUUUUAAUCCAUUUGAGUGGUCAGAAAAAGAGACUGAGCUGGCGGAGGAGACUGAAAAUGUUGCGUGAUAUCUGCAGGGGGUUGAUGUGUAUACACCGGAUGAAAAUAGUUCAUCGUGACCUAAAAAGUGCAAAUUGCCUUGUGAAUAAGCACUGGACUGUGAAGAUAUGUGAUUUCGGGCUCUCAAGAAUAAUGACGAGCCGACCCAUGAGAGAUUCUGCAUCUGCAGGAACACCAGAAUGGAUGGCUCCUGAACUCAUUCGUAAUGAACCCUUCACUGAAAAAUGUGAUAUUUUUAGCCUUGGGGUGAUAAUGUGGGAGUUCUGUUUUCUAAAUAGACCAUGGGAAGGUGUACCGCCAGAGAGGGUAUGCAGUGUACUGAUACUUGGUAGUUUAUGCUGUUGCGAAUGAAGGAUCACGGUUGGAGAUUCCUGAAGGUCCCCUAGGAAGGCUAAUUUCAGAUUGUUGGGCAGAACCGGAAGAGCGGCCAAGUUGUGAGCAGAUACUUUCUCGCUUGCUGGAUUGCGAGUACUCUCUCUGCUGAUACAUUCUGUUUGUAUAGAAAACCCGGUAGAGGUGUUAACAAUGUGUUGUCGGCUUUUCAAGUUGUAUAACUGUAAUAAUUUUUCCAAUCAUUGUAAAAACAAAGAGUUUUUUCCUCUUCCUUGUCAUUUAAAUUUUUAAGUUGAAUAUCCCUUUGCAGUUUUCAA